rnacentral:rRNA from 1 species
CGCGUAGGCGGUGCGGUAAGUCUUUUGUGAAGUCUCCGGGCUCAACUCGGAGUCUGCAGGAGAAACUGCCGUGCUUGAGUGUGGGAGAGGUGAGUGGAAUUCCCGGUGUAGCGGUGAAAUGCGCAGAGAUUAGGAAGAAUACCAGUGGCGAAGGCGCCUUUCUGGACUGUAACUGACACUGAGGCUCGAAAGCGUGGGAGCAAACA